GACGAAUGCUGGCGGCGUGCUUAACACAUGCAAGUCGAACGGAAAGGCCCUGCUUUUGUGGGGUGCUCGAGUGGCGAACGGGUGAGUAACAAGUGAGUAACCUGCCCUUGACUUUGGGAUAACUUCAGUAAACUGGGGCUAAUACCGGAUAGGAGCUCCUGCUGCAUGGUGGGGGUUGGAAAGUUUCGGCGGUUGGGGAUGGACUCGCGGCUUAUCAGCUUGUUGGUGGGGUAGUGGCUUACCAAGGCUUUGACGGGUAGCCGGCCUGAGAGGGUGACCGGCCACAUUGGGACUGAGAGACGGCCCAGACUCCUACGGGAGGCAGCAGUGGGGAAUAUUGCACAAUGGGCGGAAGCCUGAUGCAGCAACGCCGCGUGCGGGAUGACGGCCUUCGGGUUGUAAACCGCUUUCGCCUGUGACGAAGCGUGAGUGACGGAAAUGGGUAAAGAAGCACCGGCUAACUACGUG
rnacentral:rRNA from 1 species